GCAUAUCAAUAAGCGGAGGAAAAGAAACUAACAAGGAUUCCCUUAGUAACGGCGAGUGAAGCGGGAAGAGCUCAAAUUUGAAAUCUUCAAGGUUCUACCUUGACGAAUUGUAGUUUAAAGAAGUGUUUUCUGUUAGAUGAGUAGCAAAAGUUCCUUGGAAUGGGACAUCAUAGAGGGUGAGAAUCCCGUAUUUGGUUAUUCAUUCUAGCUUUGUGAUACACUUUCAAAGAGUCGGAUUGUUUGGGAAUGCAGUCCAAAAUGGGUGGUAAAUUUCAUCUAAAGCUAAAUAUUGGCGAGAGACCGAUAGCGAACAAGUACCGUGAGGGAAAGAUGAAAAGAACUUUGAAAAGAGAGUUAAACAGUACGUGAAAUUGUCAAAAGGGAAGCGUUUGACACCAGUGUUGUUUUUCCGAAAAUCAAUUACGAAUGGCUUGAUUUUGUGUUGUAUUGACCUUAUCAGCUUUCUGCACUUUUUUCGAGUCUUUCUUAAUGCACUUUUCGGUUAACAAGUCAACAUCAAUUUCUUUUGUUGUAAAAGAGUAUUCGGAAGGUGGCUUUCUUUUCGGAGAAAGUGUUUAUAGCCCUAUACUUCUACAAUCGGAGAGAUUGAGGUCUGCAGCGUAGAUCCUUUGGGGUUAGAUACACUUGUGCUAAGUUGUAGCUUUUCAUAGACAACUUGUUGACUAUGUUUAGUCAUGCGGCUUACUCGCUUGUGCUAUUUUACCUACGCUUAGGAUGUUGACAAAAUGGUUUUAAACGACCCGUCUUGAAACACGGACC
rnacentral:rRNA from 1 species